rnacentral:rRNA from 1 species
AUUGAACGCUGGCGGCAGGCCUAACACAUGCAAGUCGAACGAGUGGCGGACGGGUGAGUAAUGUCUGGGAAACUGCCCGAUGGAGGGGGAUAACUACUGGAAACGGUAGCUAAUACCGCAUACCAUCGGAUGUGCCCAGAUGGGAUGAGCGAGUCGGGGGGGUAAUGGCUCACCUAGGCGACAAUCCCUACAUGGUCUGAGAGGAUGACCAGCGAAACGGGCACGGAGACACGGUCAAGACUCCUACGGGAGGCAGCAGUGGGGAAUAUGGCACAAUGGGCGCAAGCCUGAUGCAGCAAUGCCGCGUGUAUGAAGAAGGCCUUCGGGUUGUAAAGUACUUUCAGCGAGGAGGCGUUACUCGAAGAAGAAGCACCGGCUAACUCCGUGCCAGCAGCCGCGGUAAUAC